ACGUCCGAGGAGGUUACAUUCUACCAUGUCAAGAGCCAGCACGGAACACACAUCUAAGUCGACAGAAUUACAUGAAGCUCAUUGUUGCUGCAGAUGACAACCAAAUGGCACAAGGGACUCUAUUUUGGGAUGAUGGAGAGUCUAUAGACACUUAUGAAAGAGGUCAAUACACCUCGAUACAAUUCAAUUUAAAUCAGACAACUUUAACAAGCACUGUAUUGGCAAAUGGGUAUAAAAACAAACAGGAGAUGAGACUUGGAAGCAUCCACAUAUGGGGGAAAGGAACACUCCGUAUCAGCAAUGCUAAUUUGAUUUAUGGAGGAAGUAAACAUCAGCCUCCUUUUACUCAAGAGGAAGCUAAGGAGACACUAAUAUUUGACCUGAAAAAUAUGAAUGUUACUCUUGAUGAACCAAUACAAAUCACCUGGUCAUGAAGAUCAACAUCAGUUUGAGUUCCUGAGGAGGAAUUGAUAUCAGGUCCAUGGUUCUAUUUCCAUUUUUCCUGACUACAUACGUUCUUUGAAACACAAUUAUCAUGCUCCUUAUCCAAAUAUUUCUCCAUUGUUUGCAUCAAAAGAAAUGCUAGCUUGUGCUACAAAUGCAUCCUGGAUGCCACUGCUCAGCAGGUUGAAAAGGAUUUGAAUGAUUAUGAUACCUUGCAAGUCACAGCUAAACAGCUAAACCUGUAAACUUGUAUGCAUACAACUAGGUUAUGAUUAAUGGAAGUGAUUUUUAAAUUAAAAUUUUUGUAUCUAUAAAUUAUAUAUACUAAUACAUUCAAUUGUGUAGGCUAAACUUAUUUAACAUAUCACAAUAUUUAAUCAUUUUGUACUAUGUAUAUUUCAUUUUAAAACAGAAAAUAAAAGUUGUAUAAAUACAUUAA
rnacentral:lncRNA from 1 species